GAUUUCUGGUUAAGUAACGCUAGCGCCCUUGCCAGGGGUGUGCGCUGGUUAGUUGCUUGCCAUCUUUCUAGAAAGCCAGCGUUUGUCAUUCACUUGGCGGACGUGACGCGAUCUAGAUCUUUUACUUUAGAGUGUUAAAGCAGGCUUACGCUAUGAAAUACAUUAGCAUGGAAUAAUAAUAUAGGACUUUGGUUCUAUUUUGUUGGCUUCUAGGACCGAAGUAAUGAUUGAUAGGGAUAGUUGGGGGUGCUAGUAUUCAGUGGCCAGAGGUGAAAUUCUUGGAUUCACUGAAGACUAACUACUUCGAAAGCAUU
rnacentral:rRNA from 1 species